GGCUGCAAUCAUACCAGCACUAAUGCACCGGAUCCCAUCAAAAUUCUGGAGUUAAGCGUGUUUGGGCGAGAGUAGUACUAGGAUGGGUGACCUCCUAGGAAGUCCUCGUAUUGCACCCC
rnacentral:rRNA from 1 species